rnacentral:lncRNA from 1 species
UAAUAAAAAUAAAAGAACUAAAAUUAUAAUUAAACUUAAAAUUUAUUACAAUAAAUAUUCUUAAAAAAUUUGAAAAAAAAAAAACAAAUAUUUUUCAUGGACCUUCACUACUUAUGAAUCAAACUCAAGACAAUAUUUUGAUAUAAUCAAUAAUUUUCAUUUAAUUUUUUUCCUUCCCGUUGAAAAGAAUAUCAUUUAUCUUCCAACCAAAUACUCCAUGAAGUAGCUCACCACGUCAAAUGAGACAACUUAUUAACUUGUUUACCUUUCACCAAAGAAUUGAAAGCAAGUAAGUUUUCCACCAUUCCACAACUUCAUCCAACAAGAUGCCAGCUAACUAAUGAUGGAAUUUAUUUCAUACCUCUACUACCAAGGAAGAAAAUUACUAUAUACAAUCAAACAUGACCGGUUACUGAAAAAGGAACAAGAGAGUUGAUUCGUAAGGUAUUGGUGCUAAAAAUAGGUGUUCCCUUUUCAAUAAAAUAUGUGCCCUUCUUUUUUUCCUAAACUGAUGCAGGCAGUAAAAUAAACUAUAUAGUAAUUAGAGAGAAGGGAACAAUUUUUUUUAUUAUAGGCAAGAGGUAACUCAAGCACAAAUGGUGGGAGAGAGAAAGAAAACAAAGUAUGGAGGAUGGAUAGUGGUUUGGUCGAAUGCUAAGGUGACCUGUGUAUUUUGACUUCACUUUGCAACACUUCUUUCAUUCUUGUCACUCUAGUAUAAUCUGAUCAUUAUCCAG